CCGCCAUUGGCAUCACGUGACCUCAACAUACCGCCUUGGAAACCCCUCGUUUCUCUUUCGGCCACUUCACCGGCAAGACCCCGGUCACCCCUCAAGCAACGCACGCGUGCAACGCGCGGGGUUUCCAUGUCCGAAGGCGCGGCGCGCGCUGCCGUCGUGGAUGGCGAAGAAGGGCGCGAGAGCGAAGGAGGAGGAGCCGCUGAAGAGCGCGAGGAAGCGGAAAACUGCCCGGUAGACGACGCAGAAACGAACCGAACCAGGUUGAAGACAAGGCAGCAGCCACCACUGUGAACACGGGCGAGGACCCGGCCACUGCAGAGAAGACGGCAGAGCUUUUGACAUCAGCGGAGCAGUCUUCAGACGGCGGUGAUGCCCUGGAUACAACGUGUGUUUCAGAAACAGACGUGGAGAUCAGCCCGCGGCAUCUGGGCCCUGAGGGUCAGAGGGCAGGACCUGCACGGGAUCAUGGCGGUCUGGUGAAUAUCGGACUGAAGGCUGAGGGAAAAGAGAAGGAUGAUGCCUUGCGGCUUGUGAGGGAAAUAUUUUUCACCUGAUGAUGAUGAACUCCAGCAUACGCCAUCUAGAACCACAUUUUGGUGCGGCAUUGCACAUCUUAGUCUGGAGUUCAGUGUUAAAGGAGCUGCUGUGUAUUUCAUACAGCUGACAUGAGUGAAUGGAACUCCCAUUAACACAAAUAACGUGGUAUUUUGUGAACAGAAAUGUUUUGCUGAAAGCUUUGACCAGAAAGCCGGAACAUGAGUGACGUAUAGAUGUGUAGUAGUACUUUUUAAAUUAUAAUGUGAAACCUAAAGCAAGUGGGUUUUAGGUAAAGAGAUCUUUCCACCACAAGUUUUUUCAGCUUUGAUGAAUUAUGAAGUGGCCGUGGCUGCACUGUCCUUUAUUUCCAUUAUCUUAAGCAACUUUGUACAAACGUUGAAAACUGGAAAGCCUUAAAUACCUUUGCCCGUGUUCUGGACUCUGAGAUGAGCUUCUCCGGAUAAGUGUUCAUUGUCAAGACUUUGUCUUCUUCAAACAGUGUGCACGGUUACCGUUGAGUAAAUCCUCACCUCGCCUAUGGUCGUCCAAGAUUAAACUCUUAAUUGUUUAAAAGCUAAAUAUCGGGAAAACUCCAAAAGCCGGUUUGAGCUCUGCGAGGUGCUUUAGAGUCGUCAACAAAAUCAUUUGUUAAGGAAGUAUUUCAUCCCAAGUUGUCGACAUUAAAGAUUUGUUGUAUUGUGUUCUACCACCAUUGCAUUAAAGCAAACCAUAUUACUCCAACAUUUGUUUUUAUUUUUGCAAGAUAUUUAAGCACGGAAUUACAGCAGGACACAUAAGCAGCGCAGUAUGCUCCAGUCUAUUGCACCAAAGAAGGGUUUAUCAUGAAAUAUAUUAUUGCUUUUCAGCAGCAUAUGCCUCAAGGAAUACAAUAAAAGAACCAAAAAAACAAAGUACUUUUAUUCUAAUGGUGAAGAGCAUCAACUAAACUAUAGUCCAUAGUCAAGCACUUUGGCUUCCUGAAUAAAGUUUAACCAG
ensembl:lncRNA